rnacentral:rRNA from 1 species
UACGAAGGGGGCUAGCGUUGCUCGGAAUCACUGGGCGUAAAGCGCACGUAGGCGGAUCUUUAAGUCAGGGGUGAAAUCCUGGAGCUCAACUCCAGAACUGCCUUUGACACUGGGGAUCUCGAGUCCGGGAGAGGUGAGUGGAACUCCGAGUGUAGAGGUGAAAUUCGUAGAUAUUCGGAAGAACACCAGUGGCGAAGGCGGCUCACUGGCCCGGUACUGACGCUGAGGUGCGAAAGCGUGGGGAGCAAACAGG